UGACCUCAAUGCUCAAAGAGCUCGUCUGCAGACAGAAUCAGGUGAAUAUUCACACCAGGUGGAGGAGAAAGAUGCUCUGAUUUCUCAGCUAUCAAGAGGCAAGCAGGCGUUCACCCAACAGAUUGAGGAACUCAAGAGGCACUUAGAAGAAGAGAUAAAGGCUAAGAGUGCCCUGGCCCACGCCUUACAGUCUGCUCGCCACGACUGUGACUUGCUCAGGGAACAAUAUGAGGAGGAGCAAGAAGCCAAGGGAGAACUGCAGCGUGCACUGUCCAAAGCCAACAGCGAAGUGGCCCAAUGGAGAACUAAAUAUGAGACUGAUGCUAUUCAGCGCACAGAGGAGCUGGAGGAGGCCAAGAAGAAGCUGGCACAGCGCCUGCAGGAUGCAGAGGAACA